CUAAUCAUUAGGACUCUUUCCAUAGCUUUUCUUUUAAUCAGUAAACUCAAAAGCAGAGAUUUUAAGGAAUAGAGGCACAGUAUUUCCAGUGGACUAAGAUACAGAAAUAGAGAAAUGACAUGGACCACACCAGGAAACAAUUGGCCAUAUACUAGUUCAGUUACUUACCCAACAUAAUAAUACCGAGAACAACUGUCUAUAUUCAAAAUUUAUUAGCUAAUAGACAAUUCAGCAUCAGCUAGAAAAGUUGAGGUGAAAAUCCACUGGGAAAAAAAUAGACAAAUUGUCCUUAAAAGUAGGUGUAAAUGGAAAGCGAGCUGUAAUCCCAGUGGUUCAGGAAGCUGAGGCAGGAGGUUUUCAGGUUCCAAGCCAGCCUCAUCAAUUUAGUGAGACCCUGUCUCAAAAGAUUAAAAGGACUGGGGGGAUGUGGGUCAGUGGUUAAGCUCCCUGGGGUUUAAUCCCUGGUAACAACAACAACAAAAAGAAACAAUGGAAAUGGGAGUAGUGAAUACUUUAGCCUCCAGCAGUAGCUUUAGUGAAGAGUCAAAGAUCUGGUAAGUAUAUUCAGUUUAGAGGGGAAAAGAAUUAGAAAAUAAUUUUGUUCCUGCUGGGGUUGUGGCUCAGUGGUAGAGCACUUGCCUGCCAUGUAAGAGGCACUGAGUUCGAAUCUCAGCACCACAUACAUAUAUAUAAAAUAAAGGUCCAUCAACAAUUUUUUAAAAAUCAUUAUUUAAAAAAUAAUAAUUUUGUUGUAUAAACACCUCAGUUCUUCAGGGGUAGCUUUGAAAAAUCACAAACUGAAAGAGGAUAAUAACUGCAACGAAAUGAUCACUGAUUUAUUUCUUCCAAUUUCAUUCUUACCUAGUGACCACGAUGACCAUGCUUAAUCAAUCUUUUGUCCUCUCAUAAAUAUUUCAUUAACUUCUCAUUAAUAUAGGGACCUUUUUUCUUAAACAUAUAACCACCAUACUUGUCAACACACUCAUAUAUUAAGCCCU
rnacentral:tRNA from 1 species